GCUCACAUAAUUUAAUUUAAACCCUAGACUGUGAAUCUAGCCAUGAAAGUUCAACCCUUUCUGCGAGCC
rnacentral:tRNA from 1 species